rnacentral:snRNA from 1 species
CUACUUACCCAGCAGGGGAGAGACCAUGAUCACGAAGGUGGUUUUCCCAGGGCGAGUCUUCUCCAUUGUACUCUGGAUGUGCUGAUCCCUGCAAUUUCCCCAAAGGUGGGAAACUCGACUGCAUAAUUUGUGGUAAUGGGGAACUGCAUUUGCACUCUCCCCU